rnacentral:rRNA from 1 species
CCUUGCACAGGGGGACAACAGUUGGAAACGACUGCUAAUACCGCAUAAGACCACAGUACCGCAUGGUACAGGGGUAAAAACUGAGGUGGUGCAAGAUGGACCCGCAUCUGAUUAGCUAGUUGGUGGGGUAAAGGCCUACCAAGGCGACGAUCAGUAGCCGACCUGAGAGGGUGAUCGGCCACAUUGGGACUGAGACACGGCCCAAACUCCUACGGGAGGCAGCAGUGGGGAAUAUUGGACAAUGGGGGGAACCCUGAUCCAGCGACGCCGCGUGAGUGAAGAAGUAUUUCGGUAUGUAAAGCUCUAUCAGCAGGGAAGAAAAUGACGGUACCUGACUAAGAAGCCCCGGCUAACUACGUGCCAGCAGCCGCGGUAAUACGUAGGGGGCAAGCGUUAUCCGGAUUUACUGGGUGUAAAGGGAGCGCAGACGGCUUGGCAAGUCUGAAGUGAAAGCCCGGGGCUUAACCCCGGGACUGCUUUGGAAACUGUGAAGCUAGAGUGUC